AGGCCAGAUGGAAGAAAGGAAGAAAGAAGGAAAGCAUCAAAAAAGAAGGAAUGCACGCGAAGAAGUCCUCUCCGAAAAACCGUCUCCCUUUCUUUUUCUUCAUUUGGGUCUUUAAUUCUCUUUUCUUCCUCCUUUCCCGGGCUCCUUUU
rnacentral:ribozyme from 1 species